rnacentral:rRNA from 1 species
AACGAACGCUGGCGGCAGGCCUAACACAUGCAAGUCGAACGCUCCGCAAGGGGAGUGGCGCACGGGUGAGUAACACGUGGGAACCUACCUUCUGGUACGGAACAACCAAGGGAAACUUUGGCUAAGACCGUAUACGACCUCCGGGUGAAAGAUUGAUCGCCGGAAGAGGGGCCCGCGUCCGAUUAGGUAGUUGGUGAGGUAACGGCUCACCAAGCCUUCGAUCGGUAGCUGGUCUGAGAGGAUGACCAGCCACACUGGGACUGAGACACGGCCCAGACUCCUACGGGAGGCAGCAGUGGGGAAUAUUGGACAAUGGGCGCAAGCCUGAUCCAGCCAUGCCGCGUGAGUGAUGAAGGCCUU